rnacentral:rRNA from 1 species
GGAGAAUUGAGGGGGGCUGCUCCUAGUACGAGAGGACCGGAGUGGACGCAUCACUGGUGUUCGGGUUGUCAUGCCAAUGGCACUGCCCGGUAGCUAAAUGCGGAAGAGAUAAGUGCUGAAAGCAUCUAAGCACGAAACUUGCCCCGAGAUGAGUUCUCCCUGAGACUUUAAGUCUCCUGAAGGAACGUUAAAGACGAUGACGUUGAUAGGCCGGGUGUGUAAGCGCAGCGAUGCGUUGAGCUAACCGGUACUAAUGAACCGUGAGGCUUAACCUUAC